rnacentral:lncRNA from 1 species
GGAAAAGGGAUCAAAAGUACCAAAGUGGAACAUAGAAGAGGCCAGUAACACAGGCACAUUACUUUCAGUGUGCAGAAGCUGGUUAAUCACACAUGCUUAAAAAGUUCACUCUUGCUUCUCAUAAUAUUUCUCAUGGAAAGUAGACCUAGAAAUGUCUCAACUGGCUUCUUUGUCUGGGUGACACGAACACUCGAAGACAAAAACC